rnacentral:misc_RNA from 1 species
UCUAAGACAACAAAAAUUACUCAAACAAGCUCUGAAAAUUAAACACAUACAGUCUGAAACGAUUACACUGCGGUAUAACGAAGAUCAUCGGGAUACACACCGCGGUAAAAUGAAGAGCAUUGGGAUCACGUGAAUCUGCACAUGCAGCAUGCCGUGUCAUGCUCAACAUCCGGGUACCUCGGCCGCAUGGUCUCAUCAGUUGACUGAAAGAUACGGUAACGAACAUGUCUGACGGCCGAUCCUAUCUGUGUUACACAGAAGAUGUGUCUAAAACUAACCAGGGAGGAAUGACCCAGAGGAAGCUUAAACCUAAAGUAGUUCCAGCCUACGAAAAUGAUGAUUCAACGAGAUGUUACGUCCGACUUUACCAAAAGUACAAGUCGCUGUGGUCAUAUGAGCAAAGCUGUACAGCGAACCUACAAAAGAAGCAAUGACGCCAAGAAGGCCCUUGUUUCCGACAUAGUUGCAAAGAAUCCCAGAAUUUCUGCUGAUCCCCAAAACUGCACCACCACCACCACCACGAAAACUGAGAAGUUGACUGCAUCGGAAUCUGCUACCAAACCCACUGCAGAGAGAAUACAACAGGGUUGGAUGCUCAUCUCGAGCGUGGAAACAUUUCCGUUACCUUCAAUUUUCACUAAAUUACGUGUUCAAUGACUAUUCAGAAAUAAAGUGGCCAAGUUUG